rnacentral:rRNA from 1 species
CCAGACUCCUACGGGAGGCAGCAGUGAGGAAUAUUGGUCAAUGGCCGCAGGGCUGAACCAGCCAAAUCGCGUGAGGGAUGACGGUCCUAUGGAUUGUAAACCUCUUUUGUCAGGGAGCAAAGGGCGCCACGUGUGGCGUUUUGCGAGUACCUGAAGAAAAAGCAUCGGCUAACUCCGUGCCAGCAGCCGCGGUAAUACGGAGGAUGCGAGCGUUAUCCGGAUUUAUUGGGUUUAAAGGGUGCGUAGGCGGAAUAUCAAGUCAGCGGUAAAAAUUCGGGGCUCAACCCCGUCGUGCCGUUGAAACUGGCAGUCUCGAGUUGGAGAGAAGUAUGCGGAAUGCGCGGUGUAGCGGUGAAAUGCAUAGAUAUCGCGCAGAACUCCGAUUGCGAAGGCAGCAUGCCGGCUCCACACUGACGCUGAGGCACGAAAGCGUGGGUAUCGAACAGGAUUAGAUACCCCCGUACA